AGGCCCCUCUCCGGGCUGUCUGACACGAAACAAACGUCAGCUUGUGUUGGCUGAUUGCCUCACUUUCUCAAGAAAGGAAAAAUAUCCUCACAGACUUUUCUUGUUCUCCAGGACAAUCCUCCCCGCUAGAGGGGAAGAUUUUCCAGCGGGCGGCGCCAGUCUCUUUCCUUCAGGCAGCGCCGCGGGCAGCCCGCAGGCCCUUGUAAGGCGCGCGCUGCGGCCCCGCCUCCUUCCUUUCGGCCGGAGCCGCCAUCUUCCAGUAAUUCGCCAAAAUGACGAACACAAAGGGAAAGAGGAGAGGCACCCGAUACAUGUUCUCUAGGCCUUUUAGAAAACAUGGAGUUGUUCCUUUGGCCACAUACAUGCGAAUCUACAAGAAAGGUGAUAUUGUAGACAUCAAGGUAAAUUAUAACAUUGGGAAAAUAACACUACAGAAUUUAGAGAAGUUGGAUUUAAUCUAGUAUAGAAGUUCAGUGUAUCCUGGCACUCAAGAGCUUAAUGAUGAUUAUCUUUUUGAUUGCUCGAAGCAAAGUGAAAAACACAUUUCACCGGCUCUGA